rnacentral:lncRNA from 1 species
UAACAGGCAAGACUCACUUUUAUGGUCAGCAACAGUGGACACCUGUCUCCCACUGAGACCAUUUGAUAAAGGUCAUUUAACAGUUUUUCCUGAUAAUACCCUUCAGUCACCAUGGGGUUGGUUUCAGAUUCCAUUCAGUGACCCAGAAACUUGAAAGCUCUAUAUCCAUAACUAAUCCUUUGGGAUUUCUGGUCCUCAAUAGGUAAUUAUUUCAACAAGUUUCUUUUUGAAAAUAAAAUGAUCUUUUGGAAUUUUUAUUAAAUUGAAUGGGAAAAUAAGAAUUUUGUAUGUAUUAAAUCUAGUUUACAUCUCAAGCACAUUUUAAGAUU